GUUUGAACAUCUGUAUGGACUCUGAUAAAACCACUUCUUCAGGCACAGAAUUCCACAUCCUUAUUGUUCUUACAGUAAAAAAACCUUUCCUUUGCCUUAGACGAAAUCUUCUUUCUUCCAGUCUAGGCAUCAUUAAACAUUAAGUUGCUUUAGUGCCUAUCAUAUCCGUUAAGACUUUUAAGGACACACUUCUGGAUACUAGUCAUUUAUUUAAGUUUUCCUCCUGCUCUGCAGAUGCUGGGAGAAUAG